GGGGGAGCCGGUACAGAGUCAAUGUGGAGGCUAUAUACAGGGGGAGCCGGUACAGAGUCAAUGUGGAGGCUAUAUACAGGGGGUACCGGUACAGAGUCAAUGUGGAGGCUAUAUACAGGGGGUACCGGUACAGAGUCAAUGUGGAGACUAUAUACAGGGUAUUACGGUACAGAGUCAAUGUGGAGGCUAUAUACAGGGGGGAGCCGGUACAGAGUCAAUGUGGAGGCUAUAUACAGGGGUUACCGGUACAGAGUCAAUGUGGAGGCUAUAUACAGGGUAUUACGGUACAGAGUCAAUGUGGAGACUAUAUACAGGGUAUUACGGUACAGAGUCAAUGUGGAGGCUAUAUACAGGGUAUUACGGUACAGAGUCAAUGUGGAGGCUAUAUACAGGGUAUUAAGGUACAGAGUCAAAAUGGAGGCUAUAUACAGGG
ensembl:lncRNA